rnacentral:rRNA from 1 species
GGGGAGCAAACAGGAUUAGAUACCCUGGUAGUCCACGCCGUAAACGAUGUCGACUUGGAGGUUGUGCCCUUGAGGCGUGGCUUCCGGAGCUAACGCGUUAAGUCGACCGCCUGGGGAGUACGGCCGCAAGGUUAAAACUCAAAUGAAUUGACGGGGGCCCGCACAAGCGGUGGAGCAUGUGGUUUAAUUCGAUGCAACGCGAAGAACCUUACCUGGUCUUGACAUCCACGGAAGUUUUCAGAGAUGAGAAUGUGCCUUCGGGAACCGUGAGACAGGUGCUGCAUGGCUGUCGUCAGCUCGUGUUGUGAAAUGUUGGGUUAAGUCCCGCAACGAGCGCAACCCUUAUCCUUUGUUGCCAGCGGUCCGGCCGGGAACUCAAAGGAGACUGCCAGUGAUAAACUGGAGGAAGGUGGGGAUGACGUCAAGUCAUCAUGGCCCUUACGACCAGGGCUACACACGUGCUACAAUGGCGCAUACAAAGAGAAGCGACCUCGCGAGAGCAAGCGGACCUCAUAAAGUGCGUCGUAGUCCGGAUUGGAGUCUGCAACUCGACUCCAUGAAGUCGGAAUCGCUAGUAAUCGUGGAUCAGAAUGCCACGGUGAAUACGUUCCCGGGCCUUGUACACACCGCCCGUCACACCAUGGGAGUGGGUUGCAAAAGAAGUAGGUAGCUUAACCUUCGGGAGGGCGCUUACCACUUUGUGAUUCAUGACUGGGGUGAAGUCGUAACAAGGUAACCGUAGGGGAACCUGCGGUUGGAUCAC